CAAUAGCGUAUAUUAAAGUUGUUGCGGUUAAAAAGCUCGUAGUUGGAUUUCUGCUGAGGAUGACCGGUCCGCCCUCUGGGUGAGUAUCUGGCUCAGCCUUGGCAUCUUCCUGAAGAACGUAGCUGCACUUGACUGUGUGGUGCGGUAUUUAGGACAUUUACUUUGAGGAACUUAGAGUGUUUCAAGCAAGCAUGUGCUUUGAAUACAUUAGCAUGGAAUAAUGAUAUAGGAUUUCGGUUCUAUUUUGUUGGUUUUUAGAAUUGAAAUAAUGAUUGAUAGGGAUAGUCGGGGGCAUUCGUAUUUAACUGUCAGAGGUGAAAUUCUUGGAUUUGUUAAAGGCGGACUACUGCGAAAGCAUUUGCCAAGGAUGUUUUCAUUGA
rnacentral:rRNA from 1 species